UUCUUCCUUGUCUUGGGGAGCAUAGUGCGCAGUGAUCGUAAAGUGAGAGCACUGAUGCUGACACCCAAAGGUUUAUAACCAUUCCCGCGCCCGGCUGCCUUUUGGGAGUCCGAGCGCAAUUUUUGAAUGG